UCAAAUUUGAUUUAUAAAGUGUUAUGUAAGAUCUACAAUCACAUUAUAUCAUCAUUGCAAAAUACCAUAAUACUAGUCUAAGUCAUAACAACCUCGAACUAUAUCAUCUAAUUUUGCAAAAAA